rnacentral:rRNA from 1 species
UACGGGGGGAGCAAGCGUUGUUCGGAUUUACUGGGCGUAAAGGGCGCGUAGGCGGCGUGACAAGUCACUUGUGAAAUCUCCGGGCUUAACUCGGAACGGCCAAGUGAAACUGUCAAGCUAGAGUGCAGAAGGGGCAAUCGGAAUUCUUGGUGUAGCGGUGAAAUGCGUAGAUAUCAAGAGGAACACCUGAGGUGAAGACGGGUUGCUGGGCUGACACUGACGCUGAGGCGCGAAAGCCAGGGGAGCAAACGGG